rnacentral:tRNA from 1 species
GGUCCAGUGGUCUAGGGGUAUGAUACCUCCUUGACGUGGAGGUGACCACGAGUUCAAAUCUCGUCUGGACCA